CCCCUUUGCAACGGCGCAAGGCGGGCCUAUAUUCUGUUUUGUCCUCUCGGGGACUAUGGGCAUAAACGCGCAUGUAAUAAACGGAUCGGACCCGGGGGCGGUACCCGGCGUCUCCACCAUAUAUCCCUUGUUGGGGGAUCUUGGGGACGAAACAGGAUCGACGAACGCGUAAAGAUGUAGCUUUGCUUCGGUGAGAUACCACCGUUAUCGGUUCACAAAGUACAAUUGCCAACAACAAUCGUGCUCCGGUGGCUCUCGCAGCGUAAGCUGUUAGAAAUACCGAAAUCUAAGCCCUUGCGCCUAGCAGCGUAAGGCGGGGUUCGCAGGCACCUGGCAACAGAAGCCUGCACU
rfam:Antarctobacter heliothermus strain SMS3 chromosome, complete genome.